GCUAAAACCGUAGUCUAAACAAAACUCAAGAAACUCAAAACACACAAAACAAAACAUUUGACCCACCCAGUAGAUGCGAUCGAACAUUAUCACAGCACUUAAGUACCGCAAGGGAAUCGACUAAUUAAGCAAAAAAAAGCAAAGAUAAAACCUUGUACCUUUUGCAUUAUGGUUUAGCAAGAAUUACAGGACAAAACGCACCACUAUAAGCCCCAACCACCCGAAACCAGAUGAGCUACUUUAAAGCAGCCUUCAGGGCCAAUCCUUCUCUGUAGCAAAAGAGUGGAAAGACUUAAAAGUAGCGGUGAAAUGCCUAUCGAAUCUGGAGAUAGCUGGCUACCCAAAACAGAAUCUAAGUUCACCUUUAGACCUUCAUAUCACACACUAGAAAGCUAAAGACACUCAAUAGGGGUACAGCUCUAUUGAAACAGGAUACAACCUGACCUUGAGAAUAAAAUCACCCAUAAUCUACAAGUAGGCCUUAAAGCAGCCACCUAUAAAAAUAUCGUUUAAAGAAUUAUAACAAAAAUCCCCCACCCAAUACAAUAUUCCAAGUACAACUAAGGGUAAAUCUAUCAACAUAGAUAAACUUAUGCUAAAACUAAUAAUAAGAAAACUUCUCUAAGUGCAACUGUCCGCAAGAAACAGAAAAUCUACUCGCAAUCAACAGACCAAAAAAGGAAUGAUACUACCACCUACACAACUAACACACAAACUGUGACCCCAACACAGGAGCACACCAAAGAAAGAUAAAACAUUACAAAAGGAACUCGGCAACCAAUGACUUCAACUGUUUACCAAAAACAUAACCUUUAGCUAAAACCAGUAUUAAAGGCAAUGCCUGCCCAGUGAGACCUUCUUCAACGGCCGCGGUACCCUAACCGUGCAAAGGUAGCGUAAUCACUUGUCUAUUAAUUGUAGACCCGUAUGAAAGGCCACAUGAAAGUCAGACUGUCUCUUGUAAUUAAUCAAUUAAACUGAUCUUCCAGUACAAAAGCUGAAAUGAACAUAUAAGACCAGAAGACCCUGUGAAGCUUAAAUUAACCUACUAAAACCCAUAGUAGCUACUUUCAGUUGGGGCGACUUUGGAACAAAACAAAACUUCCAAGCACCAUGAGCUAUCCCUCAUACACCAGGCCAACAAGCCACCACAAGACCCAGUAACACUGAUAACCGAACCAAGUUACUCCAGGGAUAACAGCGCCAUCUUCUUUAAGAGCCCAUAUCAAAAAGAAGGUUUACGACCUCGAUGUUGGAUCAGGACACCCAGGUGGUGCAACCGCUACCAAAGGUUCGUUUGUUCAACGAUUAACAGUCCCACGUGAUCUGAGUUCAGACCGGAGCAAUCCAGGUCAGUUUCUAUCUAUAAAAAGCCCUUUCUAGUACGAAAGGACCGAAAGAGCAAAGCCAAUACCAAAAGCACGCUUUAACAAAAAAUAUAAAUAAACUCAAUAUACAACCAUUAAUAAACCCAAGCCAAGAAAAGGCCAAUUAAGGACACACCCCGCCUUA
rnacentral:rRNA from 1 species